rnacentral:rRNA from 1 species
GUCAGCAGCCGCGGGAACACCGGCGGCCCGAGUGGUGAUCGUGAUUAUUGGGUCUAAAGGGUCCGUAGCCGGUUUGGUCAGUCCUCCGGGAAAUCUGAUAGCUCAACUAUUAGGCUUUCGGGGGAUACUGCCAGACUUGGAACCGGGAGAGGUAAGAGGUACUACAGGGGUAGGAGUGAAAUCUUGUAAUCCCUGUGGGACCACCUGUGGCGAAGGCGUCUUACCAGAACGGGUUCGACGGUGAGGGACGAAAGCUGGGGGCACGAACCGGAUUAGAUACCCGGGUAGUCCCAGCCGUAAACGAUGCUCGCUAGGUGUCAGGCAUGGCGCGACCGUGUCUGGUGCCGCAGGGAAGCCGUGAAGCGAGCCACCUGGGAAGUACGGCCGCAAGGCUGAAACUUAAAGGAAUUGGCGGGGGAGCACAACAACGGGUGGAGCCCUGCGGUUUAAUUGGACUCAACGCCGGACAACUCACCGGGGGCGACAGCAAUAUGUAGGCCAAGCUGAAGACUUUGCCUGAAUCGCUGAGAGGUGGUGCAUGG